UUCGGCCAAAUAAAUUUAUGUUUUUGGGUUGAUUUUUGUACCAUAUCAUAAAGUAACAACUAAUAGAAUAUUAAAUAAAAUUUGAAAUGAAAAAACAAAUGUUUCAAUUUUUGCUGAUUUUUUUGUACCCUCGAGCCCCUUUAAAGUGACCAGCAAAAGAGGUGAUUUGAUUGAAGAGAAUAAACGAAUCCUUGUUUUAGUUAACAUCUUAUGUGAGACUUCUUUUUUAUAAAUAUUUAAGACUACCGGAAGAAUCUUAUAAAUAGAUCGAGAUCACCAGAAUUCUGCAGUCAGAAUAUCUUUACUAAGUAAUAUUCAAAACACA
rnacentral:lncRNA from 1 species